rnacentral:tRNA from 1 species
GGGAGUAUAGCUCAGUGGUAGAGUGCGUGAUUGGUGUGCACAAGGUUCUGGGUUCAAUUCCCUGUACUUCCG